UAUUUUUUUGUGGGUCUAAAGAUGAGUUCAAGAAUUGGAGCCUUAACGUUCAUGAUCUUGCUUUUCUUCUGAAUUUGCUAUGUGUCUGCGCUCACAAAUGGAAUAGACGCUACUGCUUUACAAGCCAUAAGGAAUGAAUGGAGCAAGUAUCCAGAAAGCUGGAAAGGCUCUGAUCCCUGUGGAAGCAAUUGGGUUGGCAUUACAUGUAACAAUGGUGGCGUGGUUUCAGUAUCAGUAGGCAACCUUAACUUGGAAGGAAAGCUUUCUGGGUAUAUUUCAGAGCUGUCUGACUUGCAGAUCUUGGAUUUGUCAUACAAUCCUGGAUUGUCCGGACCUCUUCCAACAAAUAUUGGUGACCUCAAGAAGUUGAGGAACUUGAUCCUUGUUGGAUGUGCUUUCAGUGGUCAGAUCCCCCAAUCAGUAGGAUCUCUAAAACAACUUAUAUAUCUGUAAGGUUUUUUUUUUGGUUGGAACUGUAAGUUUUUUUGUUAGAAACAAUUAAAGGUAUCUCACGAAUAUUCUUGACAUUAAAAAACAGUAAAUAGUUAUGCAGUAACUUUUAUGAAAUAUACUCUUAAAAAUUUACUACCAAAAUUUGAUGUACGUUCUUUCAACACCCUCCAAAUCGCCAACUUUUACUAUUUUACUAAUCUCUACAAAAAUGCAAAUUAUUAGAGUAUGACCGGUUAUGAGCU